rnacentral:rRNA from 1 species
UGCCAGCAGCCGCGGUAAUACGGAGGGGGCUAGCGUUGUUCGGAAUUACUGGGCGUAAAGCGCACGUAGGCGGACCAGAAAGUUGGGGGUGAAAUCCCGGGGCUCAACCUCGGAACUGCCUUCAAAACUAUUGGUCUGGAGUUCGAGAGAGGUGAGUGGAAUUCCGAGUGUAGAGGUGAAAUUCGUAGAUAUUCGGAGGAACACCAGUGGCGAAGGCGGCUCACUGGCUCGAUACUGACGCUGAGGUGCGAAAGCGUGGGGAGCAAACAGGAUUAGAUA